rnacentral:rRNA from 1 species
UACGGGGGGGGGCAAGCGUUGUUCGGAAUUACUGGGCGUAAAGGGUGCGUAGGCGGUCUGUUAAGUUAGAUGUGAAAACUCUGGGCUCAACCCAGAGCCUGCAUCUAAAACUGGCAGGCUAGAGUUCUGGAGGGGGGUAGCGGAAUUCCUGGUGUAGCGGUGAAAUGCGUAGAUAUCAGGAGGAACACCGGUGGCGAAGGCGGCAUACCUGGA